GACGAACCGUGCGAACGUUGUUCGGAAUCACUGGGCUUAAAGGGCGCGUAGGCGGGUCACCAAGUCCGGGGUGAAAUCUUUCGGCUCAACCGGAAAAGGGCCUUGGAUACUGGUGACCUGGAGGAAGGUAGGGGCAUGCGGAACUUCCGGAUGGAGCGGUGAAAUGCGUUGAUAUCGGAAGGAACGCCGGUGGCGAAAGCGGCGUGCUGGACCUUUGCUGACGCUGAGGCGCGAAAGCCAGGGG
rnacentral:rRNA from 1 species